UUAAUCUUGUUAUUCUUUCAGAGACCAUCUUUGGUAUGAUAAAAAGUUAAAAUAAUUUUAUCUCUAAGAGUAGUUUGGACGGAAAAUAACGUUUUUAAAUAUGCUUUUAAAUUUUAAAUGAUUCUAUAUUUUAAAUACACGAAUCAUAGAUAAUAAUAAAUAGACAAAACGGACUUUAAACUUUGCAGUGACUAAUUUGUUUUUUAUUUAAUUACUUCAAACGAUGCUGCGAUGCUUUGUUUCCGUUAUCGGUUGGACUUUUGGAAUUCAGUGCAAAUUUACAGUUAAGGUGUGAAUCCGAACUCGGCAACAAGCAGCAAAGCAGCAGUGCUGUUGCCGCAGUGGUGUCAAUAAGGUGCUGCCCAGCAGUAACGCGUCUGCCGCCGCAGCAAGAAUACCUACGUGAAUGUGUUGGUCUGUCGCGGCGGUAGGACUGCCGCUACAUAAUUCCGCGCGGUGGUGGCUACGCAUCCUCGGCGCCCGCGACCCGAUGGAGCGGCUGCGCUGCCGGCAGUGCAGUUCGAUCAGUUGGCUCGCCACUACGGACACGCACGACGUAUAUGUCUCUAAUUAACGCUGCUUCCGAUUAGCUAUAAUUUUCUAUGUAACUUCAGCUUUGUUGCUUUCUCGUUGUACUUAUACUCCUUCUUGUGGUGUUAACUAUUAUUGUGUUUAAAAGAACAAAUAAACUGUAUAAACCUGUGGGAACUAUCAUUCAGUUUUAACACCCUACGCUAACUAAAA